GCCAUCUUAGCUCAGUCGGUAGAGCAAUUGAUUCGUAAUCAAUAGGUCACCAGUUCGAUUCUGGUAGAUGGCUCCA
rnacentral:tRNA from 1 species